GACGAACGCUGGCGGCGUGCUUAACACAUGCAAGUCGAACGAAGUGGCGAACGGGUGAGUAACGCGUAAUCAACCUGCCCUUCAGAGGGGGACAACAGUUGGAAACGACUGCUAAUACCGCAUACUGUAGGAGGGGUUGGCGUCUGAUUAGCGGGUUGGAGGGGUAACGGCCUACCAAGGCGCGGAUACGUAGCCGGUCUGAGAGAAGGAACUGCCCCAUUGGGACUGAGACACGGCCAAGACUCCUACGGGAGGCAGCAGGUGGGAAUCUUCCGAAAUGGACGAAAGUCUGACGGCGCAACGCCGCGGGAGUGAUGACGGCCUUCGGGUUGUAAAGCUCUGUUAAUCGGGACGCUGUACCGGAAUAGAAAGCCACGGCUAACUACGUGCCAGCCGCCGCGGUAAUUC
rnacentral:rRNA from 1 species